UACAGAGGUGGCAAGCGUUGUUCGGAAUUACUGGGCGUAAAGGGCGCGUAGGCGGCCUUCUAAGUCGGACGUGAAAGCCCCAGGCUUAACCUGGGAACUGCGUCCGAUACUGGGAGGCUUGGAUUCGGGAGAGGGAUGCGGAAUUCCAGGUGUAGCGGUGAAAUGCGUAGAUAUCGGGAGGAACACCAGUGGCGAAGGCGACUACCUGGCCUGUUCUUGACGCUGAGGCGCGAAAGCUAGGGGAGCAAACAGGG
rnacentral:rRNA from 1 species